rnacentral:rRNA from 1 species
CUACCAUGCAGUCGAACGAUGAUGCCAGCUUGCUGGGUGGAUUAGUGGCGAACGGGUGAGUAACACGUGAGUAACCUGCCCCUGACUCUGGGAUAAGCGUUGGAAACGACGUCUAAUACUGGAUAUGACUGCCGGCCGCAUGGUCUGGUGGUGGAAAGAUUUUUUGGUUGGGGAUGGACUCGCGGCCUAUCAGCUUGUUGGUGAGGUAAUGGCUCACCAAGGCGACGACGGGUAGCCGGCCUGAGAGGGUGACCGGCCACACUGGGACUGAGACACGGCCCAGACUCCUACGGGAGGCAGCAGUGGGGAAUAUUGCACAAUGGGCGAAAGCCUGAUGCAGCAACGCCGCGUGAGGGAUGACGGCCUUCGGGUUGUAAACCUCUUUUAGUAGGGAAGAAGCGAAAGUGACGGUACCUGCAGAAAAAGCACCGGCUAACUACGUGCCAGCAGCCGCGGUAAUACGUAGGGUGCAAGCGUUGUCCGGAAUUAUUGGGCGUAAAGAGCUCGUAGGCGGUUUGUCGCGUCUGCUGUGAAAUCCCGAGGCUCAACCUCGGGCUUGCAGUGGGUACGGGCAGACUAGAGUGCGGUAGGGGAGAUUGGAAUUCCUGGUGUAGCGGUGGAAUGCGCAGAUAUCAGGAGGAACACCGAUGGCGAAGGCAGAUCUCUGGGCCGUAACUGACGCUGAGGAGCGAAAGCGUGGGGAGCGAACAGGAUUAGAUACCCUGGUAGUCCACGCCGUAAACGUUGGGCGCUAGAUGUAGGGACCUUUCCACGGUUUCUGUGUCGUAGCUAACGCAUUAAGCGCCCCGCCUGGGGAGUACGGCCGCAAGGCUAAAACUCAAAGGAAUUGACGGGGGCCCGCACAAGCGGCGGAGCAUGCGGAUUAAUUCGAUGCAACGCGAAGAACCUUACCAAGGCUUGACAUACACCGGAAACGGCCAGAGAUGGUCGCCCCCUUGUGGUCGGUGUACAGGUGGUGCAUGGUUGUCGUCAGCUCGUGUCGUGAGAUGUUGGGUUAAGUCCCGCAACGAGCGCAACCCUCGUUCUAUGUUGCCAGCGCGUUAUGGCGGGGACUCAUAGGAGACUGCCGGGGUCAACUCGGAGGAAGGUGGGGAUGACGUCAAAUCAUCAUGCCCCUUAUGUCUUGGGCUUCACGCAUGCUACAAUGGCCGGUACAAAGGGCUGCGAUACCGUAAGGUGGAGCGAAUCCCAAAAAGCCGGUCUCAGUUCGGAUUGAGGUCUGCAACUCGACCUCAUGAAGUCGGAGUCGCUAGUAAUCGCAGAUCAGCAACGCUGCGGUGAAUACGUUCCCGGGCCUGUACACACCGCCCGUCAAGUCAUGAAAGUCGGUAACACCCGAAGCCGG